rnacentral:lncRNA from 1 species
CUCAGAGAUUAGGUGACCCGCUUCGGAUCACCCUGGAGUUAAUGCAGACCUUAAGCAAGACUGGUUUCUCAUUCCCCUGUUUGAUGGCUCUGUUCGCACAGCUCAGGAUCUCCCCAGCCCCAAGUCUCUGUAUUACCCAGAUGGUACUCAGGGCAAGGGUGCCAUUCACUGCCUGAAGCACAGACGUGGAUACCUGCCUUGCUGCACAUUCUGCAGUAACAGUCACACAAUCAGUCCUGCAAGCCGAGCUGAGGGACUGAAGUUAUUCCAAUUAGCUGACUUUGGAGGC